AACGCAAAUUGCACUCUCUGGUAACCCGGGGAGUAUGCCUGUUUGAGGGUCAGUGUUAAUAAAAAUCGGUGCGUUGCAAUUUUUGUGAUGUUCCGGAGUUUGAGUUAUCUUUAUCUUCUGGGUUUAAGAGGCUUAAAAUUGACCUUCUUUGUGCAUUUUAGACGUACAUAAAUUUUUUUUUAUUCGUUUAUCUUAAUGCCAAAAUCUAUUAGAUGCGACCAUAUCGUGUGGUUCCGUGUCUAUAAAUUUUUCAUGAUUUGACCUCAAAUCAGGUAGGAACACCCGCUGAACUUAA
rnacentral:misc_RNA from 1 species